UCAGACGAUGCGUCAUGCAUAUCAAUAAGCGGAGGAAAAGAAACUAACAAGGAUUCCCUAGUAACGGCGAGUGAAGCGGGAAGAGCUCAAAUUUGAAAUCUUCAAGGUUUUACCUUGACGAAUUGUAGUUUAAAGAAGUGUUUUCUGUUGAAGUUUUGGUAAAAGUUCUUUGGAAUAGGACAUCAUAGAGGGUGAGAAUCCCGUAUUUGACCAUUAUUUUCAGCUGUGUGAUAGCACUUUCAAAGAGUCGGAUUGUUUGGGAAUGCAGUCCAAAAUGGGUGGUAAAUUUCAUCUAAAGCUAAAUAUUGGCGAGAGACCGAUAGCGAACAAGUACCGUGAGGGAAAGAUGAAAAGAACUUUGAAAAGAGAGUUAAACAGUACGUGAAAUUGUCAAAAGGGAAGCGUUUGACACCAGUGUUGUUUUCUCGAAAAUCAAUUAAAAAGAGUUGGAUUUUGUGUUGUAUUGACCUUAACAGCUUGCUUCACUCUUUUCCUGCUUUUUUUAAUGCACUUUUCGUUUAACAAGUCAACAUCAGUUUCUUUUGUUGUAAAAGGGUCAUUGGAAGGUGGCUUUCUCUUCGGAGAAAGUGUUUAUAGCCUUUGAUCUCUGCAAUCGGAGAGACUGAGGUCUGCAGCGUAGAUCCUUCGGGGUUAGAUACAUUUGUGCUAAGCUACAGCUUUUCAUAGACAACUUGUUGACUAUGUUUAGUCUUGUAACUUACCCGCUUAUGCUAUUUUACCUACGCUUAGGAUGUUGAUAUGCAUGACUGAUAU
rnacentral:rRNA from 1 species